rnacentral:lncRNA from 1 species
GGCUGAGGCAGGAAAAUGGCGUGAACCCGGGAGGCGGAGCUUGUAGUGAGCUGAGAUUGCGCCCCUGCACUCCAGACUGGUCAGCAGAGCAAAAAAACCUAAGUUGGAUCAUAUCAUGUUUCUGCUCCCUAUCCUGCUACUGCUUCCUACUGCACUUGAUCUGGUCCUAGGUGCCACGCUGCUCCAGACACACUGGCCUGCUUUCUGUUCUUCAUGCCAGCUCAGAAGGGUCCUAACUCAGACACUUGGUACUGGUGGUUCUCUCUAACUGGAAUGUUCUAAGACUUUCAGCUGACUGACAGCCUCUCAAUCAUCAAGCUCAAAUCAAGGCAUCUUAAGCUACGACUGUCAUUUAGUAUCACAUGACUCUGCUUUUAAUUUUUGCUUAGCACUUAUUAUAACAAAGUUAACAAAAAUAUUGACCUCCUCUUUCUCCAUGACAGCAGAAUUUUAAUUUGUCCUAUUCGCUACUGUACACAGCAGUUCCCUUGGUGUCCAUGGGGAAUUGGUUCUAAGACCCCUGCCCAGCCUCGCCGGGACACCAAAAUCCAAGGAUGCUCAAGUCCCUUACAUAAAAUGGCCUAGUAUUUGCAAUAAUAUAUACACAUCUUCCAGGAUACUUUAAAUCACCUCUAGAUUACUUACAAUACUUCGUAUGAUAGAAAUGCUAUGUAAAUGUUGUCAUAUUUUUAUUUUUUAUUUAUUUUUGAUGCAGGGUUUGGAUGUCACCCAGGGGCUAAGGUGCAGUGGCGCAAUCAUAGCUCGCUGCAGCCUUUACCUCCCGGUCCCACGCAAUCCUCCUACUUCGGUCUCCCGAGGAGCUGAGAAUACAGAUGCAUGCCACCAUGCUUUUAUAGAGAUGACAUCUCACUAUGCUGCUCAGGCUGGUCUUGAACUCCUGGGCUCAAGAAAUCCACCAGCUUUGGCCUCCUGAAGUGCUGGAAUUACAGGUGUGAGCCACCAUACCCAGCUAUAUUUUUAUUUUUAUUUUUCUAUUCUAUUCUAUUCCGUUCCGUUCCGUUCUAUUCUAUUCUAUUUGAGAGAUGGAGUCUUGUUAUAUUGCUAAGCCUGGUCUAAAACUCCUGAGCUCAAGCUAUCCUCCCACCACAGCUUCCCAAAAGUUCUGAGAUUACAGGCAUGAGCCACCAUGCUGAGCUGCAUAUUAUAAUUUGUGUUAAUUGUUGUACUGUUAUUUUUUUACUUUUUUUUCCAAAAAAUAUUUUCUAUCUACAGUUGGUUGAAUCCGCAGAUGCAGAAUGCGCAGAUACGGAGGGCUGAUUGUACUCUGGCCCACAGCAGGUGCUCAAAUAUUUGCUGCAUGAAUUAAUAAGGGAAAAUAGUAAGGAGACUGAGAAAAAAAGUCAGAAAGCUGAAAAGGAAAUCAGAAGAGAGGAGAAGCUAAGAAAAGGAAGAAGUCACGAAGAAUGAUGACUAAGAUGCCAAUGAGGCUGGGUGUGGUGGCUCACGCCUGUAGUCCCAGCUACUGAGGAGGCUGUGGUGGGAGGAUCACUUGAGCCUGGGAGGUUGAGGCUGUAGUGAGCCAUAAUGGUGCCACUGCACUCCAGCCUAGGCAACACAGUGAGACCCUGUCUCCAAAAAAAAAAAAAAGAUGCCAAUAAAUUUGGCAAGUCCAUCCUUGGUGUCCUUUACGGAGGCAACUUCAGAGUAAUAGAAGAGGUAGAAGGCAUAUUACCAUAGGCUAAUGAGUAAAUGAGAAGUUCAAGUGGGAAGGGCAAAGGGAAAGAAGAAUAUGGAAUACUAUUUUGACAGUGAGAAAACACAGGACUUGUCAGUGUGGAGAAUAUUUGUUCAUAAUUUCAAGCUGAAGGGAAAGACUCAGUUGGGAAGGGAGAUACUGAAGACAAAAAAGGAAAGAGGGUUCUAGACAAGGUCUCAGGCAUUACAGGAAGAAAUGAGAUCCUAAAGCCACACUGAUCAUCUUUUUAAAAAAACUAAUGCCCCACAUGAUUACAGUACAGUAUCUGUUUUAUAUUCAGAAAUAUCUACUUCCUGGAAAUAAUUUGUUAUUUCAUAAUUCUUACAAGAGUUUGGUCUACAAAAUUAACAGCUUUCUUAACUCUUAAAAGGUACACAUGGGGUGGUUUGGCAGCAGAGAGCUAUGAGGUGUGCAGCAUACUCUCAGGUGGUUCAGAGAAUAAAAGUCUGAGAGAGAGAGAAAGAGGCAGAGAGUGGGAGAGAGAGAAUGUGCAAAUGAUAACAAAUGGGGCACAACAGUGACAACAGGUAAAUCUAGGUAACCAGAUGUUCUUUGUACCAAACUUAGAGCUUUUCUCUAAGUUUGACAUUAUUUACAAAUAAAAGGUUAAAAAAGAGAGAAAGAAACUUUACACACCUAAAACUAAGUAAGAAAAUCAACUUUCGGCCAGGCAAGGUGGCUCACACCCAUCUCUACAAAAAACUUUAAAACCUAGCCGGGUGCGGUGGUGCACACCUGUAGUCCCAGCUACUCAGGAGGCUGAGGUGGGAGGACCCCUGGAGCCCAGCAGUUCAAGGCUGUAGUGCCCCACGAUCGCGCCACUGGGUGAUAGAGCCAGACCCUGUUUCAAGAAAAAAGGAAAAGAAAUGAAAACCUAAUAGACUCAUUC